rnacentral:rRNA from 1 species
GGGUGCGAUCAUACCAGCACUAAUGCACCGGAUCCCAUCAGAACUCCACAGUUAAGCGUGCUUGGGUGAGAGUAGUACAAGGAUGGGUGACCUCCUGAGAAGUCCUCGUGUUGCACACCUC